CGAGCGGAGAGAGGUAGCUUGCUACUGAUCUUAGCGGCGGACGGGUGAGUAAUGCUUAGGAAUCUGCCUAUUAGUGGGGGACAACAUCUCGAAAGGGAUGCUAAUACCGCAUACGUCCUACGGGAGAAAGCAGGGGAUCUUCGGACCUUGCGCUAAUAGAUGAGCCUAAGUCGGAUUAGCUAGUUGGUGGGGUAAAGGCCUACCAAGGCGACGAUCUGUAGCGGGUCUGAGAGGAUGAUCCGCCACACUGGGACUGAGACACGGCCCAGACUCCUACGGGAGGCAGCAGUGGGGAAUAUUGGACAAUGGGGGGAACCCUGAUCCAGCCAUGCCGCGUGUGUGAAGAAGGCCUUAUGGUUGUAAAGCACUUUAAGCGAGGAGGAGGCUACUUUAGUUAAUACCUAGAGAUAGUGGACGUUACUCGCAGAAUAAGCACCGGCUAACUCUGUGCCAGCAGCCGCGGUAAUACAGAGGGUGCAAGCGUUAAUCGGAUUUACUGGGCGUAAAGCGCGCGUAGGCGGCUAAUUAAGUCAAAUGUGAAAUCCCCGAGCUUAACUUGGGAAUUGCAUUCGAUACUGGUUAGCUAGAGUGUGGGAGAGGAUGGUAGAAUUCCAGGUGUAGCGGUGAAAUGCGUAGAGAUCUGGAGGAAUACCGAUGGCGAAGGCAGCCAUCUGGCCUAACACUGACGCUGAGGUGCGAAAGCAUGGGGAGCAAACAGGAUUAGAUACCCUGGUAGUCCAUGCCGUAAACGAUGUCUACUAGCCGUUGGGGCCUUUGAGGCUUUAGUGGCGCAGCUAACGCGAUAAGUAGACCGCCUGGGGAGUACGGUCGCAAGACUAAAACUCAAAUGAAUUGACGGGGGCCCGCACAAGCGGUGGAGCAUGUGGUUUAAUUCGAUGCAACGCGAAGAACCUUACCUGGCCUUGACAUAGUAAGAACUUUCCAGAGAUGGAUUGGUGCCUUCGGGAACUUACAUACAGGUGCUGCAUGGCUGUCGUCAGCUCGUGUCGUGAGAUGUUGGGUUAAGUCCCGCAACGAGCGCAACCCUUUUCCUUAUUUGCCAGCGAGUAAUGUCGGGAACUUUAAGGAUACUGCCAGUGACAAACUGGAGGAAGGCGGGGACGACGUCAAGUCAUCAUGGCCCUUACGGCCAGGGCUACACACGUGCUACAAUGGUCGGUACAAAGGGUUGCUACACAGCGAUGUGAUGCUAAUCUCAAAAAGCCGAUCGUAGUCCGGAUUGGAGUCUGCAACUCG
rnacentral:rRNA from 1 species